rnacentral:rRNA from 1 species
UGGGGAAUAUUGGGCAAUGGGGCGAAAGCCUGACCCAGCAACGCCGCGUGAAGGAAGAAGGUCUUCGGAUUGUAAACUUCUUUUAUCAGGGACGAAGGAAGUGACGGUACCUGAUGAAUAAGCCACGGCUAACUACGUGCCAGCAGCCGCGGUAAUACGUAGGUGGCAAGCGUUAUCCGGAUUUACUGGGUGUAAAGGGCGCGUAGGCGGGGAUACAAGUCAGAUGUGAAAUCUAUGGGCUUAACCCAUAAACUGCUUUUGAAACUGUUCUUCUUGAGUAUCGGAGAGGCAGGCGGAAUUCCUAGUGUAGCGGUGAAAUGCGUAGAUAUUAGGAGGAACACCAGUGGCGAAGGCGGCCUGCUGGACGACAACUGACGCUGAGGCGCGAAAGACGUGGGGAGGCAAACAGGAUUAGAUACCCU